GUGUAUACUUCCUUCAUGAAGUCUCAUCGCUGCUAUGACCUGAUUCCCACAAGCUCCAAAUUGGUUGUAUUUGAUACGUCCCUGCAGGUGGGUGAAAUCCUCUUUUCCCUUCCCCCUUUGGAGCCUGUGGUUUAAUACCUCUCAUCCUAUCUCAUCCUAAGGGUAAUAUCCUUAUCCUUCUGUGAAGUUAGUCUCAUGUUUUACCCAACAUGCCCAAACACUGUUCUUUUUUUACAGUCCUGCCCCUGUGGAUUUGCCUUUAUGAUUAUUACUGUCUUGGCUACAGGUGAAGAAAGCUUUUUUUGCUUUGGUGACUAACGGUGUACGAGCUGCCCCUUUAUGGGAUAGUAAGAAGCAAAGUUUUGUGGGCAUGCUGACCAUCACUGAUUUCAUCAAUAUCCUGCACCGCUACUAUAAAUCAGCCUUGGUACAGAUCUAUGAGCUAGAAGAACACAAGAUAGAAACUUGGAGAGAGGUGUAUCUCCAGGACUCCUUUAAACCGCUUGUCUGCAUUUCUCCUAAUGCCAGCUUGUUUGAUGCUGUCUCUUCAUUAAUUCGGAACAAGAUCCACAGGCUGCCAGUUAUUGACCCAGAAUCAGGCAAUACUUUGUACAUCCUCACCCACAAGCGCAUUCUGAAGUUCCUCAAAUUGUUUAUCACUGAGUUCCCCAAGCCAGAGUUCAUGUCCAAGUCUCUGGAAGAGCUACAGAUUGGCACCUAUGCCAAUAUUGCUAUGGUUCGCACUACCACCCCCGUCUAUGUGGCUCUGGGGAUUUUUGUACAGCAUCGAGUCUCAGCCCUGCCAGUGGUGGAUGA
rnacentral:sRNA from 1 species